GGGGUUCCCGAUUUGAUUCGGGCUCGGCCGAUCCUCCCACCCUUUGUGUACCUACCUCUGUUGCUUUGGCGGGCCGCGGUCCUCCGUGGCCGCCCCCCUCCCCGGGGGGGUGGCCAGCGCCCGCCAGAGGACCAUCAAACUCCAGUCAGUAAACGAUGCAGUCUGAAAAACAUUUAAUAAACUAAAACUUUCAACAACGGAUCUCUUGGUUCUGGCAUCGAUGAAGAACGCAGCGAAAUGCGAUAAGUAAUGUGAAUUGCAGAAUUCAGUGAAUCAUCGAAUCUUUGAACGCACAUUGCGCCCUUUGGUAUUCCGAAGGGCAUGCCUGUUCGAGCGUCAUUACAACCCUCAAGCUCUGCUUGGUAUUGGGCACCGUCCUUUGCGGGCGCGCCUCAAAGACCUCGGCGGUGGCGUCUUGCCUCAAGCGUAGUAGAACAUACAUCUCGCUUCGGAGCGCAGGGCGUCGCCCGCCGGACGAACCUUCUGAACUUUUCUCAAGGUUGACCUCGGAUCAGGUAGGGAUACCCGCUGAACUUAAGCAUAUCAAUAAGCGGGAGGAA
rnacentral:rRNA from 1 species